rnacentral:rRNA from 1 species
UACGGGGGGGGCAAGCGUUGUUCGGCGAAUUACUGGGCGUAAAGGGCUCGUAGGUGGCCAACUAAGUCAGACGUGAAAUCCCUCGGCUUAACCGGGGAACUGCGUCUGAUACUGGAUGGCUUGAGUUUGGGAGAGGGAUGCGGAAUUCCUGGUGUAGCGGUGAAAUGCGUAGAUAUCAGGAGGAACACCUGCGGUGUAGACGGCUUACUGGACCAUAACUGACGCUGAGGCACGAAAGCGUGGGUAGCAAACAGG